GUGCUCUCUUUGGCAGCACAUAUACUAAAAUUAGAAGGAUACAGAGAAGAUUAGCAUGGCCCCUGUGCAAGGAUGGCACGUAAAUUCGUGAAGCGGUCCAUAUAUUU
ensembl:snRNA U6 U6 spliceosomal RNA